AUUGUUGAGCUCAGCAUGCCCGGAUUCGUCAUCUACAGCCUAAUGACUGGGACGGUGCACUGUCAAUCAGUAAUUCAGAUUUUCCAGGUAGGCUCAGGGAGAACGGACACAUUUGUGAGCUGGAGAGCAAAAAUAGUGUUGAUCUUAAUUUUCAAUACAUAUAUAGACUGUGACAUCAGGGCCUCUCAAUCCUUCUGACCUUGGUUGUGUUCGGCAGGAAGUGUCAAAGGUUACCACAGUGAUGAUUGGAAUGUGGUGGCCAAGUGUUUAUAGCAACUCCACAUUUUAGUCCUAAGAUACUGGAUCUUUGUUGUGAAGCCUACUUCAUCAAGAGCUGGGUUGUUUACCCACUACUAAGAAUGUGAGCUGGCAUUAGGCCAUGGUGAGAUAUGGCAGUU
rnacentral:ncRNA from 1 species